UAUAAAGCAUCCGAACGUUACGGGCGGGCCUGACUCUUUGCUCUGCCCGUAUCUUUUUUUCCACUCUGGGUGAGCAAAGUUUCAGGUGUGUCCGUGACAG